GACGAACGCUGGCGGCGUGCUUAACACAUGCAAGUCGAACGGUAAGGCCCUUCGGGGUACACGAGUGGCGAACGGGUGAGUAACACGUGGGUGAUCUGCCCUGCACUUCGGGAUAAGCCUGGGAAACUGGGUCUAAUACCGGAUAGGACUCCGGACUGCAUGGUCUGGGGUGGAAAGCGUUUGCGGUGUGGGAUGGGCCCGCGGCCUAUCAGCUUGUUGGUGAGGUAACGGCUCACCAAGGCGACGACGGGUAGCCGGCCUGAGAGGGUGACCGGCCACACUGGGACUGAGACACGGCCCAGACUCCUACGGGAGGCAGCAGUGGGGAAUAUUGCACAAUGGGCGCAAGCCUGAUGCAGCAACGCCGCGUGAGGGAUGACGGCCUUCGGGUUGUAAACCUCUUUUAGUAGGGAAGAAGCGAAAGUGACGGUACCUGCAGAAAAAGCACCGGCUAACUACGUGCCAGCCGCCGCGGUAA
rnacentral:rRNA from 1 species